CGCAAAUGAACAUUCAGUUUGGAUCAAAGGUUGUGGUAAGGAAAAGGGGAUUUAAUAAAUGACAUAUUGAAUUGUUUGAUCUUCAAAGUCUUGUGAGAAGACACAGCAAAGAACAGCCAAGGGCACACACCACAAUGGAAGAGAAAGGGAGAGAGAGCAAAAUCCCGUCUCUCAACUUCUCCUUCCCACUGAAGAAAAGUCCCAAUAGGCGUGAGGACAGUCAGUCUGAUUAAAGCUGCAACUGA